rnacentral:rRNA from 1 species
UACGAAGGGGGCUAGCGUUGCUCGGAAUCACUGGGCGUAAAGGGUGCGUAGGCGGGUCUUUAGGUCAGGGGUGAAAUCCUGGAGCUCAACUCCAGAACUGCCUUUGAUACUGAGGAUCUUGAGUUCGGGAGAGGUGAGUGGAACUGCGAGUGUAGAGGUGAAAUUCGUAGAUAUUCGCAAGAACACCAGUGGCGAAGGCGGCUCACUGGCCCGAUACUGACGCUGAGACUCGAAAGCAUGGGGAGCAAACAGG